AGCUCCUUGUUGGAGAAGCAGGGCACGUGCAAAAUUGCCAAUCCAUUUUGGCUUCUCAAAUGCCAUGUCUCGCGUUCUGCACGUGCUCCCCUUCUCCAACACGGGUUC
rnacentral:pre_miRNA from 2 species